rnacentral:misc_RNA from 1 species
GAAUUGACUAUAAUGAAUUGUCCAAGUAUUGUUUCUUUCAAUCAGGGAGGGUUGCCCACCAGCCAUUUGAAAAAACUUACAGUUAGAAACUGUGAGAAACUGGAGGCCCUUCCUAAUAACAUUCACAAUCUCACAUCUCUUCUGGAAUUGACUUUAAAGAAUUGCCCAGGUAUUUUGACAAUUGCUGGAAUAAUAGAUUCA